rnacentral:lncRNA from 1 species
CAUCAUUUUCGAAAAGUAAACUAUGUCGUCAUGCUGAUGGGUGUCGUAUCGGCUCGGACAACCACUGGUGUACUGAUGUCUUCUGGGUUUGGCGGGUAUGAAACCGCGACGCCGCACGUAACUACACCGAGGUCCCCAUGUACUACACCACCAAGUCUCCAGAUUAUUACACCACAACUUCGCUGCCCCGAGCUACUACACCGAAUCCCCGAAAUAUGCCCGAACUACGCCAUCAAAGGGUCGAGCACUACACCGAGGCCCCUAAUUAUUACACCACUACAUAUCAUGGUCGUAUAAAAGGAGAGAAAAGGCGAUAGAUAUCAGUCGAAUGGUUAUCACCGACAUGGCAGCAACUGCAGUGCAGUAGGUGUAGUCGUCACCAACUGCAUUCUUCGUCGUACCACCAGUUUUGCAAUCAUGGCACGACGCCGCCGUCUUACUAUGCAACAAAAACAUACGACACGACCAGUUACUACACCGAGGCCCCCAAGUAC